AUACGGAGGAUCCGAGCGUUAUCCGGAUUUAUUGGGUUUAAAGGGUGCGCAGGCGGCCAUUUAAGUCAGCGGUUAAAUCGUGGGGCUCAACCCCAUUCUGCCGUUGAUACUGGGUGGCUUGAUUGCGGUCGAGGUUGGCGGAAUUCGUUGUGUAGCGGUGAAAUGCAUAGAUAUGACGAAGAACACCGAUUGCGUAGGCAGCUGACCAGACCGCAAAUGACGCUCAUGCACGAAAGUGCGGGGAUCGAACAGGAUUAGAUACCCUGGUAGUCCGCACAGUAAACGAUGAAUACUUGUUUUCGGCGAUAUAAUGUCGGAGGCAAAGCGAAAGCGAUAAGUAUUCCACCUGGGGGGUACGCCGGCAACGGUGAAACUCAAAUGAAUUGGCGGGG
rnacentral:rRNA from 1 species